GAUGAACGCUAGCGGCAGGCCUAAUACAUGCAAGUCGAACGGUGUCUUCGGACAUAGUGGCGCACGGGUGCGUAACACGUAUGCAACCUACCUUACAUUGGGGGAUAGCCUUUCGAAAGGGAGAUUAAUACCGCAUAAGACAGUAGCUGGGCAUCCAGCAGCUGUUAAAGAUUUAUCGAUGUAAGCUGGGCAUGCGUCCAAUUAGCUAGUUGGUGAGGUAACGGCUCACCAAGGCAAUGAUUGGUAGGGGAACUGAGAGGUCGAUCCCCCACACUGGCACUGAGAUACGGGCCAGACUCCUACGGGAGGCAGCAAUAGGGAAUAUUGGGCAAUGGACGCAAGUCUGACCCAGCCAUGCCGCGUGCAGGAUGAAGGCGUUAUGCGUUGUAAACUGCUUUUAUACAGGAAGAAACGACUCUUGCGAGAGGCAUUGACGGUACUGUAUGAAUAAGCACCGGCUAACUCUGUGCCAGCAGCCGCCGUAAAAC
rnacentral:rRNA from 1 species